rnacentral:rRNA from 1 species
UCGGCAGGCUUGCCUGCCGAUUGGACAAACCUAUAACCUUUUUAAUUUUCAAUCAGCGUCUGAAAAACUUAAUAAUUACAACUUUCAACAACGGAUCUCUUGGUUCUGGCAUCGAUGAAGAACGCAGCGAAAUGCGAUAAGUAGUGUGAAUUGCAGAAUUCAGUGAAUCAUCGAAUCUUUGAACGCACAUUGCGCCCCUUGGUAUUCCAUGGGGCAUGCCUGUUCGAGCGUCAUUUGUACCCUCAAGCUCUGCUUGGUGUUGGGUGUUUGUCCUCUCCCCUGCGUUUGGACUCGCCUCAAAGCAAUUGGCAGCCAGUGUUUUGGUAUUGAAGCGCAGCACAUUUUGCGAUUCUGGCCUAUAAUACUUGCGUCCAUAAGCCUAUUUUCAACUUUUGACCUCGGAUCAGGUAGGGAUACCCGCUGAACUUAAGCAUAUCAAUAAGCGGAGGA